AUACCCCAGUAGUUCUAACUGUAAACGGUGUAUUACUAGUGGUAGUAUAUAUCGACGCGUGUGUGGCAAAAUCUAACGUGAUAUAUAUCCCCUUGGGGGAGUUCGCCCCAAGUGUAAAACUCAAAGAUAUUGGGGGGCGCCGCCCAAGCGGGGGAGUAUGUGGUUUAAUUCGAUGCAACGCGAAGAACCUUACCAGGGCUUGACAUCUCCGGAAUCCCGGAGAAAGCGGGGAGUGCCUUCGGAACCCGAAACCCAGGGGGUGCAUGGCUUUCUUCAGCUCGUUUCGUAAGAUGUUGGGUUAAAUCCCGCAAAAAGCGCAACCUUAGUCUUUAGUUGCCAGCAUUAAGUUGGGCAAUUAGAAAGAACUGCCGGUGGCAAACCGGAGGAAGGUGGGGAUGACGUCAAGUCAGCAUGCCCCUUACGCUCUGGGCGACACACGUACUACAAUGGUCGGGACAGAAGGCAACGAACCUGCGAAGGCAAACUAAUCCCAGCAAACUCGGCCUCAGUUCAGAUCGCAGGCUGCAACUCGCCUGCGUGAAGGAGGAAUCGCUAG
rnacentral:rRNA from 1 species